rnacentral:rRNA from 1 species
CAGCAGCCGCGGUAAUACGUAGGGAGCAAGCGUUGUCCGGAUUUACUGGGUGUAAAGGGCGCGCAGGCGGGUCAGUAAGUCAGAGGUGAAAUCCUACAGCUCAACUGUAGAACUGCCUUUGAUACUGCUGAUCUUGAGUAUGGAAGAGAGAGACGGAAUUCCAGGUGUAGUGGUGAAAUACGUAGAUAUCUGGAAGAACACCAGUUGCGAAGGCGGUCUCUUGGUCCAAUACUGACGCUGAGGCGCGAAAGCGUGGGUAGCAAACAGGAUUAGAUACCCUGGUAGUCCACGCCGUAAACGAUGGAUACUAGUUGUUGGGUUUCGACUCAGUGACUAAGCGAAAGUGAUAAGUAUCCCACCUGGGGAGUACGGUCGCAAGACUGAAACUCAAAGGAAUUGACGGGGGCCCGCACAAGCGGUGGAGCAUGUGGUUUAAUUCGAUGAUACGCGAGGAACCUUACCAGGGCUUAAAUGCAUAUUGACAGGGGUAGAGAUACCUUUUCCUUCGGGCAAUUUGCAAGGUGCUGCAUGGUUGUCGUCAGCUCGUGCCGUGAGGUGUCAGGUUAAGUCCUAUAACGAGCGCAACCCCUACCGUUAGUUGCCAGCGAGUCAUGUCGGGGACUCUAACGGGACUGCCGGUGCAAACCGUGAGGAAGGUGGGGAUGACGUCAAAUCAUCACGGCCCUUACGUCCUGGGCCACACACGUGCUACAAUGGCCGGUACAGAGAGCAGCCAUCUGGCAACAGAGAGCGAAUCUACAAAACCGGUCACAGUUCGGAUCGGGGUCUGCAACUCGACCCCGUGAAGCUGGAAUCGCUAGUAAUCGGAUAUCAGCCAUGAUCCGGUGAAUACGUUCCCGGGCCUUGUACACACCGCCCGUCAAGCCAUGGAAGCUGGGAGUGCCUGAAGUUCGUUACCGUGAGGAGCGACCUAGGGUAAAACUGGUAACUAGGGCUAAGUCGUAACAAGGUAACCGUA